rnacentral:rRNA from 1 species
CCUACGGGAGGCAGCAGUAGGGAAUAUUGCUCAAUGGGGGAAACCCUGAAGCAGCAACGCCGCGUGGAGGAUGAAGGUCUUCGGAUUGUAAACUCCUUUCGUUAGAGAAGAUAAUGACGGUAACUAACGAAUAAGCACCGGCUAACUCCGUGCCAGCAGCCGCGGGAAUACGGAGGGUGCAAGCGUUACUCGGAAUCACUGGGCGUAAAGAGCGCGUAGGCGGGAUAGCAAGUCAGAUGUGAAAACCUAUGGCUUAACCAUAGAACUGCAGUUGAAACUGUUAUUCUAGAGUAUGGGAGAGGUAGGUGGAAUUCUUGGUGUAGGGGUAAAAUCCGUAGAGAUCAAGAGGAAUACUCAUGGCGAAGGCGACCUGCUAGAACAUAACUGACGCUGAUGCGCGAAAGCGUGGGGAGCAAACAGGAUUAGAUACCCGAGUAGUC